UGGGGAAUUUUGGACAAUGGGCGAAAGCCUGAUCCAGCAAUGCCGCGUGUGUGAAGAAGGCCUUCGGGUUGUAAAGCACUUUUGUCCGGAAAGAAAUCCUUGGCUCUAAUACAGUCGGGGGAUGACGGUACCGGAAGAAUAAGCACCGGCUAACUACGUGCCAGCAGCCGCGGUAAUACGUAGGGUGCAAGCGUUAAUCGGAAUUACUGGGCGUAAAGCGUGCGCAGGCGGUUUGCUAAGACCGAUGUGAAAUCCCCGGGCUCAACCUGGGAACUGCAUUGGUGACUGGCAGGCUAGAGUAUGGCAGAGGGGGGUAGAAUUCCACGUGUAGCAGUGAAAUGCGUAGAGAUGUGGAGGAAUACCGAUGGCGAAGGCAGCCCCCUGGGCCAAUACUGACGCUCAUGCACGAAAGCGUGGGGAGCAAACAGGAUUAGAUACCCUGGUAGUCCACGCCCUAAACGAUGUCAACUAGUUGUUGGGGGUUCAUUUCCUUAGUAACGUAGCUAACGCGUGAAGUUGACCGCCUGGGGAGUACGGUCGCAAGAUUAAAACUCAAAGGAAUUGACGGGGUCAUAGCUGUUUCCU
rnacentral:rRNA from 1 species